AUGCAUUCUAGUUCUGGAAGAAAGUAUGAUUCUGGUGCCUUCAAGUGUAAGAAGAAACCGAAAUUAGAAGAAGAUGCUCAAAUUCAAAGGGGUGCUCUUGAUAAAUAUGUUGUGAUAGUACCCCAAACUAAUUCUGGAAAUCAUACUUCAGAUGGUAAUAUUGAUGAUGGUCAUGAUGAUAAUGCAGUAGAGGUUGAGGUUGUCACUGCAGAAAUUCAUGAAGUUGAUCAUGGUCAUGGUGAUAAUGCACAAGAGGAUGAGGUUGCCGCUACAGAAAUUGAUGAAGGUAAUGAUGUCAAUAUUUUAGACGAAGAUCAUGAUCCUAAUAUUUUGGAUGACAUGAAUAAUUCCGUUCAGCCUGAUAUAUUUGAUCCUAGAAAUUGGGAUGGACUUGAUCCUAAAAAGAUUGAUAUCUUGCUGCAAAAGGGUCCUAAAAGAGAAGAUAUUGAGUAUGGUCCUUACGACAAGUUCUCUAGAAGGUUUUCUGCAUUAUCACUUAGUAGAAUUCUCUCAAAUGAAGAAAAGUUUGACAGAGAGUGGCUUGUGUACAACAACGGUCUCGACAAAGCAUUUUGUUUUUGUUGCAAAUUAUUAAAAAGGGGGCAUGUGAUAGGACAGCUAGCAAAUGAGGGUUUAAGUGACUGGAUUCAUCAUGGGGCUAGAAUAAAAGAGCAUGAAUCAAGUAGAGAGCAUAUCACAAAUAUGACUGCAUGGUAUGACUUCCGUCUCAGGAUGCAGAAGAAUGAAACAAUUGAUAAAGUUGCUCAGCGAGAACUUGAAAAGGAAAAGGAGCAUUGGAGAAAAGUUUUGCUCAGGAUUUUGUUGAUUGUAAAAUUUCUUGCAGAACAUAAUAUAGCAUUUCGUGGCAGCAAUAGCAAGUUGUACCAAGAGAGCAAUGGGAAUUUCCUAGGACUGGUUGAAUUGUUGGCUGAAUUUGACCCAGUUAUCAAAGAGCAUGUUGACCGCAUCACCAAUGAUAAAAUUCUUGAUCACUACCUCGGCCCUUCUAUACAGAAUGAGUUAAUAAAUAUGCUCGCUAUUGCCAUUCGGUCUAGAAUCAUUGAAAAGGUAAAGGAAGCAAAAUAUUUCUCAGUUAUUCUUGAUUGUACUCCUGAUGCAAGCCACCAAGAGCAGAUGCCUUUGAUAAUUAUGUAG
rnacentral:rRNA from 1 species